AGUGAACGCUGGCGGUAGGCCUAACACAUGCAAGUCGAACGGCAGCACAGUAAGAGCUUGCUCUUACGGGUGGCGAGUGGCGGACGGGUGAGGAAUACAUCGGAAUCUACUUUUUCGUGGGGGAUAACGUAGGGAAACUUACGCUAAUACCGCAUACGACCUACGGGUGAAAGCAGGGGAUCUUCGGACCUUGCGCGAUUGAAUGAGCCGAUGUCGGAUUAGCUAGUUGGCGGGGUAAAGGCCCACCAAGCCGACGAUCCGUAGCUGGUCUGAGAGGAUGAUCGGCCACACGGGAACUGAGGCACGGCCCAGACUCCUACGGGAGGCAGCAGUGGGGAAUAUUGGACAAUGGGCGAAAGCCUGAUCCAGCCAUACCGCGUGGGGGAAGAAGGCCUUCGGGUUGUAAAGCCCUUUUGUUGGGAAAGAAGAGCAGCAGGUUAAUACCCCGCUGUUCUGACGGUACCCAAAGAAUAAGCACCGGCUAACUUCGUG
rnacentral:rRNA from 1 species